rnacentral:rRNA from 1 species
CCUACGGGGGGCAGCAGUGGGGAAUAUUGGGCAAUGGGCGCAAGCCUGACCCAGCAACGCCGCGUGAAGGAAGAAGGCUUUCGGGUUGUAAACUUCUUUUCGCAGGGACGAAGAAAGUGACGGUAACGGAGGAAUAAGCCACGGCUAACUACGUGCCAGCAGCCGCGGUAAUCCGUAGGUGGCAAGCGUUAUCCGGAUUUAUUGGGUGUAAAGGGCGUGUAGGCGGGAGUGCAAGUCAGAUGUGAAAACUCCGGGCUCAACCCGGAGCCUGCCUUUGAAACUGUGUUUCUUGAGUGCUGGAGAGGCUAUCGGAAUUCCGUGUGUAGCGGUGAAAUGCGUAGAUAUCCGGAGGAACACCAGUGGCGAAGGCGGCUUGCUGGACAGUAACUGACGCUGAGGCGCGAAAGCGUGGGUAGCAAACAGGAUUAGAUACCCGAGUAGUC